rnacentral:rRNA from 1 species
UACGUAGGGUGCGAGCGUUGUCCGGAAUUACUGGGCGUAAAGAGCUCGUAGGUGGUUUGUCGCGUUGUUCGUGAAAACUCACAGCUUAACUGUGGGCGUGCGGGCGAUACGGGCAGACUGGAGUACUGCAGGGGAGACUGGAAUUCCUGGUGUAGCGGUGAAAUGCGCAGAUAUCAGGAGGAACACCGGUGGCGAAGGCGGAUCUCUGGGCCGUAACUGACGCUGAGGAGCGAAAGCGUGGGGAGCGAACAGG